rnacentral:miRNA from 1 species
CGUGUGUGUGUGUGUGUGUGUGUGUGUAAGAGAGUGAGAGGUGUGUACAGUAAUAUAUAAAACAUCCUUAAAGAGCAAUGGCUGUCAUCGAAAUUCUUUAACCGACACACACACACACACACACACACACACACG